rnacentral:rRNA from 1 species
UAAUACGGAGGGUGCGAGCGUUGUCCGGAAUCACUGGGCGUAAAGGGCGCGUAGGCGGUCUGCUAAGCGUGCGGUGAAAGCCCGGGGCUCAACCCCGGGUCGGCCGUGCGAACUGGUGGACUAGAGCACUGUAGAGGCAGGUGGAAUUUCGGGUGUAGCGGUGGAAUGCGUAGAGAUCCGAAAGAACACCAGUGGCGAAGGCGGCCUGCUGGGCAUCAGCUGACACUGAGGCGCGACAGCGUGGGGAGCAAACAGGAUUAGAUACCCUGGUAGUCCACGCCGUAAACGAUGGGUAAUAGGUGUCUGGGGGAGCGACCCCCUGGGUGCCGGCGCUAACGCAUGAAGUACCCCGCCUGGGGAGUACGGCCGCAAGGCUGAAACUCAAAGGAAUUGACGGGGGCCCGCACAAGCGGUGGAGCAUGUGGUUUAAUUCGACGCAACGCGAAGAACCUUACCUGGGCUUGACAUGCUGGAGAAAGCUUGCGGAAACGUGAGCCCCUCUUCGGAGUUCCAGCAC